rnacentral:rRNA from 1 species
AGAGUUUGAUCAUGGCUCAGAACGAACGUUGGCGGCGUGGAUUAGGCAUGCAAGUCGAACGAGAAAGCUUCCUUCGGGAAGUGAGUAAAGUGGCGAACGGGAGAGUAACGCGUGGGAAACCUGCCCUCCAGUGGGGGACAACACUCCUAACGGGGUGCUAAUACCGCAUACGACCUGGGGAUCGCAUGGUCCUUGGGAGAAAGGUGGCCUCUGCUUGCAAGCUGCCGCUGGUGGAUGGUCCCGCGUCCCAUUAGCUAGUUGGUGGGGUAAUGGCUCACCAAGGCAACGAUGGGUAGCCGGCCUGAGAGGGUGUCCGGCCUCACUGGGACUGAGAUACGGCCCAGACUCCUACGGGAGGCAGCAGUCGAGAAGCUUCGGCAAUGGGCGAAAGCCUGACCGAGCGACGCCGCGUGAGCGAUGAAGGCCUUCGGGUUGUAAAGCUCUGUCAGGAGGGAAUAAAUACCGGCGGUUAAUACCCGCCGGGGCUGAAGGUACCUCCAGAGGAAGCACCGGCUAACUACGUGCCAGCAGCCGCGGUAAUACGUAGGGUGCGAACGUUGUUCGGAUUCACUGGGUAUAAAGGGUUCGUAGGCGGGCUGAUAAGUCAGAGGUGAAAGCCAACGGCUCAACCGUUGAAUUGCCUCUGAUACUGUCAGUCUUGAGUCCGCUAGGGGGUGGGGUGGGAUUUCCUGGGUGUAGCGGUGAAAUGCGUAAAUAUCAGGAGGAACACCAGUGGCGAAAGGCGGCCACCUGGGGGCGGUACUGACGCUGAGGAACGAAAGCUAGGGUAUCAAACGGGAUUAGAUA